GGAGAGUUCAGGUUGGCGGGUCCUGGGGCGGGGCCAGGACAGGGCGAUCCUGGAAGCGGGGCUUCGGAAGCGUCCAGCUGUUGUUCCCCACCAGAACCAAAUGAGCGCAAGAUCUGACAAAGAAAAAAAAAGUAACAAACAGAACCGCAAGAGCUCCUGUGACAAUGCUGAGCCUGAUCACUGCGCCUUGCAGAGCAGAUGCCCUCUGCACCUCCGCUCCUGUUAAGAAACCAGAGGGUUUUUAAUUGUCUGUUCCCAUCUAGCCGCUACCCAGUAAAGGCGCCAUUCCCCAUUUUACAGCUGGGGAAACUGAGUUACAGAGCUUGUCUACACUGAGUCAACAGGAGCAAAUGCUAGAUCAGACAAGGUCUAGCUGGAGUACAGUGAUGCAGUCAUAGCCCACUGCAGCCUCAAAAUUCCUGGGCUCAAGCAAUCCACCCACAUCAGCUUCCCAAGUAGUUGGGACUACAGGCCCACACUACUAUACCCAGACCAACAGAUAUUCUAGCAUAUAAGAAAUGUGAUGCUCUCUGUACAUUGAAGAGUUGGUCUAAUAUUUGGCCUGGUGGAUACAGAAAUUGCCUGUCUGCUCCGCUCUGGUUGAAGAAACCAGUCCGACUGUCUCUGAGGCUAUGGAGCAGUCCAUCAAGAAUGAAAGCCCUCGGCUGGCACGUUGGCUCACACCUGUAAUACCAGCGCUUUGGGAGGCUGAGGCAGGUGGAUCACUUGAAGUCACGAAUUCGACACCAGCAUGGCCAACAUGGUGAAACCCUCUCUCUACAGAAAAUAGAAAAAUUAGCUGGGCCUAGUGACGUGUGCCUGUAAUCCCAGCUACUCAGGAGGCUGAGGCAGGAGAAUCACUUGAUCCUGGGAGGCAGAGCUUGCAGUGGGGAGCUGAGAUCACACCACUGCCUUCCAGCCUGGGCGACAGAGUGAGACUCUCUCAAAAAAAAAAAAAAAAAAAAAAAAAAGAAAGUCCUC
ensembl:lncRNA novel transcript